CAGGUAGCCACACGAAACGAAGACCGAAACUCACACUUAGUCCUGGUUCCGCAUACCGGAAACAGCCGGCCAGGACCGGAAACGUGCGCUAUGGAAAUGGGUCCGUCGCAUACUGGGCACCCAGAUAGGUUCCUGGUCAGAGGAAUCCCUCACUUGCAGAAGAAAUUGUUUUGGAACUCUUGUUAGAGACUGGAAUUCUGCCAUCUUCUCAUCCCGUGUAAAAAUGGGAUGAUGAGGGUAGUUCAGACUUAAAGAGUAAAGAAGACAGAGAUGGAAACUUGGAAGUUCAUUUUACAGAUGAGGAACUGAGGCAGUUGAGCGACUUACCCAACGUCACAGAACUAAUAAGUGUGUAAAGCCAAUUUUUAACUCAGAAAAGAUGAAUCUUUCUAGUUUCAGACCUAGGACUCUCUCUACUGCACCAUCUAACUGCCCUCACCAUGUCCAUCCAUGUAAUGAACGAGUUAUCACACACCUGCAUGAAAUGUGAUAUUUUAUCUUUCUCAUUAUCAACAAGUACACUGCCUAUCUGAUUUGAACCAAAGAGUUUGGAUUUAGAAGCAAUUGUGGCAAAGUAAAUAAAGUAUUGGGCUUAGAAUUAAGAAGACCUAAA